rnacentral:rRNA from 1 species
AGCGAACGCUGGCGGCAGGCUUAACACAUGCAAGUCGAGCGGGCCUUUCGGGGUCAGCGGCGGACGGGUGAGUAACGCGUGGGAACGUGCCCUCUGGUUCGGAACAACUCCUGGAAACGGGAGCUAAUACCGGAUACGCCCUGGUUUAUGCUGGGGGAAAGGCUUGCUGCCGGAGGAGCGGCCCGCGUCUGAUUAGCUAGUUGGCGGGGUAACGGCCCACCAAGGCGACGAUCAGUAGCUGGUCUGAGAGGAUGAUCAGCCACACUGGGACUGAGACACGGCCCAGACUCCUACGGGAGGCAGCAGUGGGGAAUAUUGGACACUGGGCGCAAGCCUGAUCCAGCCAUGCCGCGUGAGUGAUGAAGGCCUUAGGGUUGUAAAGCUCUUUUAUCCGGGACGAUAAUGACGGUACCGGAGGAAUAAGCCCCGGCUAACUUCGUGCCAGCCGCCGC